rnacentral:misc_RNA from 1 species
UUGAUUGUAAUCGUUGCCUUCAGUGCUGGCCGGCUCCGGCAAGUGCACGCUGGUGACUUCAAUCCAAUACCCUGUGCACUCUUGGCCUCUUGCUGGCUUCGGCUGGUGGAGGAUAUUACACUGACUCGAAUGUAAUGAAAUUAUUAUUGUGCGAAAGCACGAAUAUGUA